rnacentral:sRNA from 1 species
CACCAUAUACUUCUGAGAGAAUGCCUGGGAAAGGCAAAUAGCAUCUUAGUAAUAUUAUGGCAAUAGUUUGACCUCGCUGACCCCCUGGAAGUUUUCAGAGAUCCCAUCCACACUUUACAGACUUGUAGGAAGAAUACCACUUGGGUCAAAUAUUACGCUGGGGAGGAGGAGGAGGAAGGGAGCGGCAGCAGUGAAGGAUUUGACCCCCCUGCCACUGAUAGGCAGUUCUCUGGGGCCCGGAAUCAGCUGCGCCGCCCCCAGUAUCGCCCUCAGUACCGGCAGCGGCGGUUCCCGCCUUACCACGUGGGACAGACCUUUGACCGUCGCUCACGGGUCUUACCCCAUCCCAACAGAAUACAGGCUGGUGAGAUUGGAGAGAUGAAGGAUGGAGUCCCAGAGGGAGCACAACUUCAGGGACCGGUUCAUCGAAAUCCAACUUACCGCCCAAGGUACCGUAGCAGGGGACCUCCUCGCCCACGACCUGCCCCAGCAGUUGGAGAGGCUGAAGAUAAAGAAAAUCAGCAAGCCACCAGUGGUCCAAACCAGCCGUCUGUUCGCCGUGGAUACCGGCGUCCCUACAAUU